AAUCAACGCUGGCGGCGUGCCUAACACAUGCAAGUUGAGCGCUUAAGGGGGGCGAACCCCCACGAGAGCAGCGAACGGGUGAGUAACGCGUGGGUGAUCUUCCUUCGAGUGGGGAACAACAUCGGGAAACUGGUGCUAAUUCCGCAUAACACCUUGAGACCAAGAGUCUUGAGAUCAAAGCCGGGGACCGUAAGGCCUGGCGCUUGAAGAUGAGCCCGCGUCCGAUUAGCUAGUUGGCGGGGUAAUGGCCCACCAAGGCUUCGAUCGGUAGCCGGCCUGAGAGGGCGGACGGCCACACUGGAACUGAGACACGGUCCAGACUCCUACGGGAGGCAGCAGUGGGGAAUUUUUCGCAAUGGGCGCAAGCCUGACG
rnacentral:rRNA from 1 species